UGUUCGAUGUCAACCUAUUAAGCGGCCCU
rnacentral:piRNA from 1 species